UAAGUAUAGUGCGUUUGUGUAAGUGAUGUUGAUGAUGGUGAUAGUGUUAAGUCAAAUGAAUGAUUAUAUACAAUGACGUGUGUUUAGAAAAAUAAACAAAUGUUUGAAAAAUAAUAUGCAAUAAAAUAACAGUCAAUCUCCACCAGAGUGCAGCGGUGUUACUUAAGUAAUUCAUAAAAUUUCGGCAUUAGAAUAAACAAAAUAAAUAAAAGUUUAGAGUAGGUAACUAGCAACACAAUUACUCAACAUAAUAACGGCAAGAAUAUUGCAGCAAUAUUUGGAUAUUCAAUUCCACAUGAUUUACCAAAACACUCAAGAAACGAACAAAUAACAGCAAAAUUUGGGUCACUCACGCAGGAGGCUUCGGUAUCGGACGCCAUUUUUCUACCGCCUUUGAGGCCUCAACUUGAUGUAUAUGUGUAUAUAGUAAAUGUGUGUGCGUAGUACUACGCUAGGCGACUUGACGACUCAACUACUAAUGUAUUAUAGCUACAUGGAUUCUUAUUGAAUGUGUACAUGAUAUAAAUACAUAUGUAUAUAUAUAAACACUUGAUGGAAAAAUA